AUUGAACGCUGGCGGCAGGCUUAACACAUGCAAGUCGAGCGGGGUGAUGGUGCUUGCACUAUCACUUAGCGGCGGACGGGUGAGUAAUGCUUAGGAAUCUGCCUAUUAGUGGGGGACAACAUCUCGAAAGGGAUGCUAAUACCGCAUACGUCCUACGGGAGAAAGCAGGGGAUCGCUUGUGACCUUGCGCUAAUAGAUGAGCCUAAGUCGGAUUAGCUAGUUGGUGGGGUAAAGGCCUACCAAGGCGACGAUCUGUAGCGGGUCUGAGAGGAUGAUCCGCCACACUGGGACUGAGACACGGCCCAGACUCCGACGGGAGGCAGCAGUGGGGAAUAUUGGACAAUGGGGGGAACCCUGAUCCAGCCAUGCCGCGUGUGUGAAGAAGGCCUUAUGGUUGUAAAGCACUUUAAGCGAGGAGGAGGCUCUUUUGGUUAAUACCCAAGAUGAGUGGACGUUACUCGCAGAAUAAGCACCGGCUAACUCUGUGCCAGCCGCCGCAGUAA
rnacentral:rRNA from 1 species